GUUUCCUCGGCAGGCUUGCUUGUCGGUUGGACAAUUCUAUAACCUUUUCAAUUUUCAAUCAGCGUCUGAAAAAUCAUAAUAAUUACAACUUUCAACAACGGAUCUCUUGGUUCUGGCAUCGAUGAAGAACGCAGCGAAAUGCGAUAAGUAGUGUGAAUUGCAGAAUUCAGUGAAUCAUCGAAUCUUUGAACGCACAUUGCGCCCCUUGGUAUUCCAUGGGGCAUGCCUGUUCGAGCGUCAUUUGUACCCUCAAGCUUUG
rnacentral:rRNA from 1 species